GGGGAUGUAUAGACUCGACAAGAGUGUACUCUACAAUUGGCAAGCCGAGGAAGGUUUCUGCCCUCGUUAAAUAAAGUAACCAAAAAUAAAUGCAAACAAUAAUGCAUAUACACCCGAAUUCGCUUACGCUUACGCAACUGCGUAAACUAAGUAUUUGAAGUUGUAAAUAACUUCAAAUUUAGAUCGCAAGAUCUAAAUUCGGCAUCGACCUUCUCCGGCCUGAUAGGAGAGGUGUUCGGUGUAAUAUUUAUCAGGCAAAUUGCACAUUAUCAUUCGAAAUUUUCGAAAUGUAUUUAUGAAGUUAAUUUGAUAUUUUCGAAUUAACUAAUAAGAAGCUUGUGUAUCUGGUUGUGCAGAUAUAUAUCUUGGACGCGGGUGCGAAUCCCGCCAUCUCCACCA
rnacentral:tmRNA from 1 species